UAGCUAAUCAAUCGUCUUCUGGAAUACACAUGUACAGAACCUUGUGACCAACCUGGACCAUCAACAUCUAAGGAAACGGAUGUACCAAUAAAUCAAUGAAAGAGAAAACUACCAGGAAAAAUAAAAUCCUCCAAAAAAAAUAAAGCUCGAUGAAGACAUGAAUAUCCCAGUUUUUAUCCAUACUGAAGAUAAAUCAACUUCCUGCAACAUAGAGAUCGAAUUGCCCAAUCAUUGUUCAGCAUGUGUGCUAAGGAAUGAUCCAACGAUCUCAAUA